rnacentral:rRNA from 1 species
UACGUAGGGGGCAAGCGUUGUCCGGAAUCACUGGGCGUAAAGCGCACGUAGGCGGCUUCUUAAGUCAGGGGUGAAAUCCUGGAGCUCAACUCCAGAACUGCCUUUGAUACUGGGAGGCUCGAGUCCGGGAGAGGUGAGUGGAACUGCGAGUGUAGAGGUGAAAUUCGUAGAUAUUCGCAAGAACACCAGUGGCGAAGGCGGCUCACUGGCCCGGUACUGACGCUGAGGUGCGAAAGCGUGGGGAGCAAACAGG